CCUACGGGCGACUGCAGUGGGGAAUAUUGCACAAUGGGGGAAACCCUGAUGCAGCGACGCCGCGUGAGUGAAGAAGUAUUUCGGUACGUAAAGCUCUAUCAGCAGGGAAGAAAAUGACGGUACCUGACUAAGAAGCCCCGGCUAACUACGUGCCAGCAGCCGCGGUAAUACGUAGGGGGCAAGCGUUAUCCGGAUUUACUGGGGGUAAAGGGAGCGUAGACGGCAGCGCAAGUCUGGAGUGAAAUCCCAUGGCUUAACCAUGGAACUGCUUUGGAAACUGUGCAGCUAGAGUGCAGGAGAGGUAAGCGGAAUUCCUAGUGUAGCGGUGAAAUGCGUAGAUAUUAGGAGGAACACCAGUGGCGAAGGCGGCUUACUGGACUGUAACUGACGUUGAGGCUCGAAAGCGUGGGGAGCAAACAGGAUUAGAUACCCUAGUAGUC
rnacentral:rRNA from 1 species